rnacentral:lncRNA from 1 species
AAAGAGCACGCAAACAUUACAGGCACUUUGUAGAGUAUCAAGAUUAAGAGAAAACAUUUUUACCGACAGACCAUGACACAAAAUCAGAAAUCAAUCACAAAAAAACAGUCAGAACUUGUAAAUUCAUAUGCUGAAGAGG